GUCCUUUUGAUUUUUAUUUAAGGUCUGACCUGCCCACUGAUUUAUUUAAUGGCCGCGGUAUUUUGACCGUGCAAAGGUAGCAUAAUAAUUUGUCUUUUAAUUGAAGGCUUGUAUGAAUGGUUGGACGAGAAAAUUACUUUCUUUAUAAUAAAAUGAUUAAUUUUAUUUUUUAGUUAAAAAGCUAAAAUUCUGUUGUAGGACGAGAAGACCCUAUAGAACUUUAUAUUUAUUUAAGUAUUAAUAUUUUUGGUUAAUGAUAUAUUGUAUUUUUAUAAAUAUUUUGUUGGGGCGACAAGAAAAUUUAUUUAACUUUUUUUUAUCAAUUUCAUUAAUUAAUGUGUAAAUGAUCCUUUAUUAUGGAUAGUUAGAAUAAGUUACCUUAGGGAUAACAGCGUAAUUUUUUUGGAGAGUUCUUAUCGAUAAAAAAGUUUGCGA
rnacentral:rRNA from 1 species